rnacentral:rRNA from 1 species
ACAAGCGGAGGAGCAUGUGGUUUAAUUCGAUGAUACGCGAGGAACCUUACCUGGGCUCGAACGUAAGAUGACUGUAGGUGAAAGCUUACAUCUCUUCGGAGCAUUUUACGAGGUGCUGCAUGGUUGUCGUCAGCUCGUGCCGUGAGGUGUCGGGUUAAGUCCCAUAACGAGCGCAACCCCUACCCUUAGUUGCCAUCAGGUUAAGCUGGGGACUCUAAAGGAACUGCCUACGCAAGUAGUGAGGAAGGCGGGGAUGACGUCAAAUCAGCACGGCCCUUACGUCCAGGGCUACACACGUGCUACAAUGGCCGAUACAGAGGGCAGCUACCUGGUGACAGGAUGCAAAUCUCCAAAGUCGGUCUCAGUUCGGAUCGGAGUCUGCAACCCGACUCCGUGAAGUUGGAUUCGCUAGUAAUCGCGCAUCAGCCAUGGCGCGGUGAAUACGUUCCCGGGCCUU